CCCCUUCCCCCCCGCGCCGGGCAGCCACCACCUUCCUCCCCGCCCCGGCCAUCCCGGCCCGCCCCCCAGCCGCCAGCUCGCGACCAAUGAGCGUGCGGGGCCGCAGCGAUCGCCAACUGCAGGCCGCGGGGUAGCUGAGGGUGGAGCGGUUCACUGGUUCCCCUGAGCAGAGGAUGCGGAAGGCGCUGAAACUAGGAAGGGACCGGCCCUCCUCGCCCCACCCGGACCCGGAACUGGCGCACUGGACGAGGCCCGGCCCCCAAAGAGCGAGGAGAACCUGCAGGGGGACCUGGCUCAGCCGCCCCUGUUGCUGAACACCAGCUAUCACGACCAGGCGGGCUGCCUUUAGGUACCAAAAGAUGACAGGUGGAUAAGCCAUAAGGAUCUCCUGCCCGCACUUCAUAGCUACCAGAGUAGUUGUAGGAAGGCAAGGGGGUAAAAUGAUUAGAACAUUUGGAUUCAAUAAAUGCUGGCUGUUCCAUA
rnacentral:sRNA from 1 species